AUCCAGUGAUGUUGAAAUCAGUAAAAAGAGCCAGGUGACUGAAGCUCAAUCUUUAGGAGCUUAUCCAUGGGUUUUUGGAUGUUUGGUUUCAGACACGGAAGAAGAGAUGUUUGGUUUCAGACAAGGAAGAAGAGAUGCUAUUUUGGCUGUACCCAAAGAACAACAACGGUCAUCAUCAUCAACCUGCGACGGCAAUCUUCACCAAAACCGGCCUCUUGGUAUGAUCUCUUAUCUCUCUCUCUAUUAAUAUCAUAUUUUUCUAAAGUUUUUUAUUUUUUCUUUUUUAAAAGUUUUUGAUAAAAAGUAUUCUUUAAAGUUUCUCGAGAAAUUAUGUAUUACAUGAUUGAUUAUAUUAAGCUUAAGUGUAAUUGUAUAAUGUGUGAAAACUAAUAAAACAUGGUAUCCUGUCAAUAUCUUAUUGAUCGUUAGAGAUUAGCAUGUUCGUUUUGAUUUCACAAUUAUCUUCGCUUGGUUUUCUAAUGGAUCUACUAAUAUCUAAUUUCUCAUUUCUUUUAUUUUCUAUUUCUUUUCUUUUUAAAAAUUUUUGAUGGAAAGUAUUUGAGAUAAAAUUUAUUUCACUCUUUUAGAUAAACUAUAUAUAUGAUGAUUUAUGUAAUUUAAAUGUAAUUAUAUAAUGUGUGAAUACUAAUCAAACAUGAUAGUCCGUUAAUUAAAUUUUAUUGAUCGUUAGAGAUAAACAUAUUUGUUUUGAUUUUUAGGCUAGUUAUUUUUCAAAAAAAAAGUUUUCAUCAAAUUUUUUUAGAAAAAGUAAUACUUUGAUGAUUUUUUUUCACCUAUGUAUAAUGUAUACACUAAAAUUUUAUAUUUUAUACGUUAUAAUUUUUAACAUUU